UUCCUCCAAGCAUCUACGAUCUUCUCUGGACAUUCCCGGAACUCUUGAGGGGGUAGACUGUGCUAACGAAUGCUGAUUGGUUGACACAGACGUUUGUCAUUUGCGUCACAUCUUGUUUACUUUUCACAUUCCACAGAGCUGCUGCAGCUGCCAUUACUGGAUGUAGUGUUACAGUCUUUACAAGAUGUUAUUUUGAGAAUGGAAGGAAUGAGGAAGGAUAGGUGGAUAGAACCCCUGGCCUCGCACCGUUGUUCAGGCGGACGGCUCCUCCAGCUCGUGGUGUCGGCUCCGCCGCCGAGGAAGGCACGCAUGCCCGCUUGGGCUCGCACUUCCCUUGCUGGCUGGCCUGCUCCUAAGCUAGAUCGAGACAGCCCUGCCGACUCAGCCGUCCUCUUGUGGACCCCGCCACCUCACCUGCUGCGACACCUCGCACAGCUUCGGCUACUAGCCGCUAGUAGCCGGACAAUUCGCAGUGUAGCUGUCCAGUUCGCCAUUGCCUCGAUCUGUGCACUGCGUGUCGCAUAACACUUCAGGGAAGAUGCAUUUUUCGGGGUGUUGGCAUAGCCUGAUGGCUAACUGCAUGCUGUAUAUUGGUAUAAAUGGUCCAAGUUAUUAAUAUGAAGGAACUGGCAAUUGCGUCAAAUAGUAACUAUUGGAAUGAUGCUCAGUACUUAUUCAGUGGGAGACUAAUGCCAGAUAGACCAAAUUCGUACUUGGACUUGUUUUUAAUACUGCCCAAAAAUGUGGACAACUGAUAUGGUGAAAAAACACUUCCACGCUAUAUCUCAAAAAUUCAAUACUAAAUUGUUUUGUCUUUGCAUGUUUUCAGCACUUAUCUUCAAACAUAUUUAAGGUAUUUCGAAGAAAAAAAAAAAAAACAGCAGCAGCUAAAGAUUUGGCGGACAUAUCCCGAAGUCGCAACAGGCUACAAGGUGAGUCCUCAAGUUAACGUGCAGAUUGCAGCACCUCUGGAAGUUAGUGGAUAGAACAUAAACUAAAGGACAAUCAUUAUAAAUGACAAACUAAAUUAUUUCAGAGUUUGAAAAAGUGUAAAAAAAAUUAUAAAUAAAUACAUUGUAAGUUUGAAUUGUGUAUAGUGUGUUAUAGAGACUGUGAUUCAAAUUUAUUUGAUUAUUAUAAGAUAAACUCAGGCGUUAAAGGAUUAAGAGUGUUAGUCUGUCAUUUUGAGCAUUUACCACCAAUUACCACAGUUAUAUUCCUGUAGCUUGUCAUUAUUGAAGGUUCAAAAUGUUUGAAAAUCCAAAUAGUCAGUUUGAUGAUAAGGUUCCAGAGCAAGAAGAGGAUAUGAAUGAAGCAUCUGAAGAAAAAAAAAAAAAUCUGAAAAUCCUCUCAUGAAAGACAUUUAACGCCUAAAAUGCAGGAAUUGAAAGAGCAAGAGUUAAUUCAAAAUGGAGAAGAAGUUCAUGGCAACAUGAAAAGUGGAAAUACAAUGUAAGAGAUAGUCGCAGAAGGUUAAAGCAAAGGUGAAAUGUAUGACAUGAAGGAUGAAGUUGAGAAGCUCGAGUGCGAAAUAAACGAGAUAUAUGACCGUAUCCGACGCCAAACAACACCAAGUCAAGAAAUUCGGAGAAAAGUUGAUGCGUGUGCACCUGUGACAGCAGACUUACUGCAAGUGAUCUAACAAAGAAGAAGCUGAAUCUGAUACUGUAGCAGAAAGGUCAAGAUUGUGCAUGCAGCUCGAUAAUGAAUAUGCUAGAUCCAUAUAUGGAUCCACAGACUCCAAAAUCACUACACCCAGUUGUCAUCAUUCUGAACACCUCUCAGAGUCACUUAGCAUUUCAGCUAAGAGGGCAGAUACGGCUGCUCUGCUGGUGGCAAAGGCAGCUGAGAUUGACAUGGAAGCAGCUAUUGAAGUUCGUCAACAGUUGAAGAAACUUGAGAAUCAUAGAGACAUUCAAGUCAUUAAAGCAAAGUGUCUUUGAAGAAGAGGAAACAUCCAUCCAUCCAUUCAUUUUCUUUACCGCUUAUCCUCAAUAGGGUCGCGGGCUGCUGGACCCUAUUCCAGCUAUCUUCGGGCGGGAGGCGGGGUAGACCUUGAACCGGUCGUCAACCAAUCGCAGGGCACAUAAAAACAAAACCAUUCGCACUCACAUUCACAAAAGAACGGAAUGGGACAUGUAGUCCUGUAUGCAGUAAAGAGAAUAAUCCAAAUCCAUCGACUCCAACUCACUUCAUCCUACGUCGGGAACAGCAAAUUGUGCAAAAUUAGACACCCUUGGUGCAGACAUUACAGGAAUCGUUAGCUCUUACCAGUCUUCCAACUCCAGAACCUACUGUAUUCUGGGGUGAUCCUUUGAAAUUUACAGAAUGGAGCACAAGCUUCAAAGCACUUAUAGAGAGGUGAUGCUCAAAUCCUCCAGAUAGGCUGUUCUACUUACAAAAAUAUAUAGCAGGGGAGGCUAAAUCUUGGAUGAAGGAUGAAGUGGCCUAUCAACAAGCAUGGGAUCAUCUGCAUGCCAGGUAUGGUCAUUCCUUUUUAGUGCAAAGAGCUUUUAGAGAGAAACUCAAUGGAUGGCCAAAGAUUGGUGGGAAAGGCUAUGUCAAAUUGAGAGAAUACAGUGAUAUCCUCCAAACGUGUAGUAAUGCUAUGCCUCACAAGUUCUGAAUGACUGCGAAGAGAACCAGAAAAUGCUGGUUAAACUACCAGACUGGGUGCCAUCCAGGUGGAACCGUCACAUCACAGAGCAGCUGGAUCAAGCUCCACCUCGGCCACACACCUGUCAUCAAUCAGCCCUCAUCAUCACCUGCAUAAAGCCUGCCAGAUCCCAGAAACUCUCGCCGGUGUAUUAACGCUAUCUUGCGUGCUCCCUUCGUGUCCCUAGGCGAGUUGACUCCUUCCACCACGCCGCCAAGCUAUCCGCCUGGCCUCGCCACCGCCAGCCACACGUUUCCUGCCUCAACAACCUGGCGGCAUAUCUCAAGGACCAUCUCCAUACCCCUUUGUUCAAUAAACUUUUCAUCACAA